AAACAUUUAAAAUUAUUAUAGAAAUUAAGGAUAAAGGGUUGGCCACAACAUGAUUGUCUGCACAAGCGUCAAUUAGAUUGAGAGAUGCAGACAAUUUGUGACAAAUUUCAGUUUACAGUGCAAAGGUGUAAAUGUAACAUAAUACUAAUUCAAUAACGCUAUCAUUCUAUAUUUUUAUUAGUGAAACCGUGAUUGGAGAUAUAAUAACUGUCAGUAAUAUUCUAUUUUGCUGUAGUUAUAUAUCUAUAAAUAAUGGAAUUUGAUAUAAAUUAAAUUGUACAAUUGGUACAAGAAAAUUCGUGUAUUUAUGAAAACAGUUCUGAUCGUUUUGUAGAUAAUUUAAGAAAAAAGAAUGCGUGGAUAAGAAUUACUAAAGAAUUUGAAAACAUAACUGGAUACCCUAUGGAGAGUGCGUAUUUUGUUACUACUUUCAUGAAUGAAAUUAAUGAUCAAAAAAUGUUUUUAGAAAGCAAACAUAAUUUAAAAAAACAUAACCUUUACAAUACAAUAACAUGAAGAGGAGAAAUAUUUCAAAUUUUUUAUUUUUUAGAAAAAGACAUCAUAAACACUUGGAAAAAUUUUAAAAAAAGUAUGUUCAAGAGCACAAAAAAGUUGUAACUUACAAAUCAUCAGGUUCAGCUGCAUCGACAAUUACAAGCGAUUGGCCUUACAAUUCGUUAAUGGAUUUUUUGAAAAAAUAUGUUGACCGCAGAAGAACAAGGAGCAAUAUCAAAUAUCCAACCCAAGAAACUAUAAAUGCAGAUGAAACUGAAUAUAUAAGCAGCGAUGAUUCUGACAAUGCUGUUAUGGACUUAAAUUAAAGUAAUAAUGUCAUUCGAGAAAUAUUAAUGUUAAUCGAGAAAACGAUUUUCUUAUUUGAUAUUUCCUAAUUGUAAUUUUUUAUUCUUACUAGGGUAACGGCACCAGUGAAAGAACAUUUAAGGAAAUACAUACUUUUAUCAUUUAUUAUUUUUGAAUGCAGUUAUUGAAAAUUUUUUUACCAAUUUUUUUCGAUAGCUAAUUAAGUGUAGAAUGCGAAGGUCAUAUUUAAUUUUCAUAAAUAUAAGAUGUUAAUUAAAAUUUUAAUUAAUAAGUAAAACAUACCUAUUUCACCAGUGAAAG